rnacentral:lncRNA from 1 species
UCUGUGUUACAGCAUGUCACGUCCUCCUGUCCUAGCCCCAGCUGGGUGCAUUGGCAAUUGAGGCAAGGGCUGAAGUCUCCUGCUCUAAACUUCAGCUGAAAUCCUCCAAUGCACCUGUGAAUUACCUCCCCAAGCCUUAUCCCACCUGGGAGCCAUCUCUCCCGUGAAGGUGUUCAGGGGGUGAACGUGCGUUGUGCUGCUGGCUGGGGAGGAGCUGGGGUCAGUGAGCUCUGGCCUUUUCUCCUGCCUGUCUGCACCUUCCCUCCUCCAUCUACAGGGUCCCCUGAGGUAGAUGGUGCAGCAAAGCUGCGUCUUUAUCAGAAGAUACCAGUAGCAUUCAGCUGCUUUUGAAGUCUCCAAAGAGAGCUGAGAUAUUUCUUGAUCUGCUCUUAAAUAAGUCAUCGAGACUGCUGUUAACUCGCAUUAAGCAGCAGAAGGCAUCUCGGUGCGCGGGGCGAGGCGCGCGCAUCUCGGCGCGCUGGGCUGGGAGUGCGUCUGCGCGGGGCGGCGGGGAGCCCUGCUGCGGGGUGCAGCCUCGGGGAGAGGCUUUGGGGCUUUAAAUAUUUGAUGUGCAAAGUUUAUUUUAGUCUGAGCCAGGCCGGAAUUGCUGCUCCUCCAGAAUGUAAUUGGUUGGAGGCUGUUUUUGUGAGGCAAAGGCAUCGCUGUGCUGCCCAAGCCGCAGACUAGCAAUACAUCAGCGUGGCGGGGUGUUUUGCUGGAGAGUGAAGCGGUGCCCGGUGGCCAGGAGGUAUUCUGUGUUAACAGAAAUGUUGACAGAAUACAGCAGUGAUCACAGUGCUUUUGAAUGAGGCUGCUGGAUGCUCUAGAUCUGCUUACAUCAGACCCCAUCUGCCAUGAUCACAUGCUGGUCCUGACCAACAGUGAGAGCAGAGGCAUGAAGCAAAGAUGUCCAGAUAUUUGCCAAGAUAUCAGCAUUUUUCCGGAAUGCUUCAGGUACAAAAGGACAACAACAACAAAAAAUUACUGCCUUACAGGCAUAAGUACAAGGCCAAAUUCCACCUCUUGUUUAGCUGAGCAGUUGCCAGCACAGCCAGCUGGGGGAAGGAGGACGCCUACCAAGACGGAUGGAAAGGUGAGUGAUGAAGGUCUUGAACAAUGACAUCUAGCUUUGUUUGUAGUAAAUGACCAAAUGCUUUGGCACUCUUCACAUGAAUAUGCCUAACCUUUGCAGUAAAUGUUGUCCCUCUGAUUCUUCUGUAUGGUAAGAUGAAAAUUAACAAGAAAACAUUCACAGAAAUGACAAUUGAACAUGGAUGUACCAAUCACAGGGCUGAUCAAGGAGCUUUCUGAGGCAUGAUGGAAUGAUCAAGGAGCUCUCUGAUGUCAGAGCUGGAACGUGUCCUUUCCCUACCAUUCAUGGGAAAGAAAAAAGCUAUCAUCGUAAUAAUUUUAUCACAUUCUGUGCUCCACUUUAAUCACUAAUUGCCCCUUUAUAGCAACCACUUUUUUUUUUUUUUUUUAAUGAGACCACCUUCAGGCUUGCUCUUGAUUCUGCUGAUGAGCUUUUAAAGGGGGAACUGUAACUGCCUAUUUGCCUUGAGCGGAUGCAUUUAGGUUGGAAGUUAAACUGCGUACUCAGUGGAAAUAUAUCAGCAGGCACUGGUGCCCAGUGGCAGCUAGGAUGUUGUGCAUUAAUGUAUGAAUGUGAAGCAUCUUGUCAAACCUUCAAGAAAAUUCAAGAAACAAUUAAGAGACCUAAAUGCCAAAAAAGUAACAAAGCUAAAGAGCCACUUCCCCAGAGGGAACUCUGAGACCUCUAUACACCAUGCAGAAAGAAUCAACCUCAGCUACUAUUUUUAAUUUCUAAAAGACAUCUCUGAAAGUUGCAUUGGCGGGUCCUACAAGAAAGGAUCUUUAAAAAAAUCUGGUCUCUUAUCUCCCAGUGCUAAUGUCACUUCUGCUAGCUAUGUGUCGCGCUCCUAGCAAGACCUGGAUAGCUUGACCACAUAAAAUAAAG